rnacentral:sRNA from 1 species
UUUUUUUUCUCUUCAAAUUUUCUCUAGUGUAAUUGUAA